AUACGGAGGAUGCGAGCGUUAUCCGGAUUUAUUGGGUUUAAAGGGAGCGUAGGUGGGAUAUUAAGUCAGCUGUGAAAGUUUGGGGCUCAACCUUAAAAUUGCAGUUGAUACUGGUUUCCUUGAGUACGGUAUAGGUGGGCGGAAUUCGUGGUGUAGCGGUGAAAUGCUUAGAUAUCACGAAGAACUCCGAUCGCGAAGGCAGCUCACCGGGCCGGAACUGACACUGAUGCUCGAAAGUGCGGGUAUCAAACAGGAUUAGAUACCCUGGUAGUCCGCACAGUAAACGAUGAAUACUCGCUGUUUGCGAUACACUGUAAGCGGCCAAGCGAAAGCGUUAAGUAUUCCACCUGGGGAGUACGCCUGCAACGGUGAAACUCAAAUGAAUUGACGGGG
rnacentral:rRNA from 1 species